rnacentral:rRNA from 1 species
UGCCAGCAGCCGCGGUAAUACGGAGGGUGCAAGCGUUAAUCGGAAUCACUGGGCGUAAAGCGCGCGUAGGCGGUUUAGUAAGUCAGAUGUGAAAGCCCCGGGCUUAACCUGGGAACUGCAUUUGAAACUGCUUGACUAGAGUUUGGUAGAGGGAAGUGGAAUUCCGAGUGUAGCGGUGAAAUGCGUAGAGAUUCGGAGGAACACCAAUGGCGAAGGCAACUUCCUGGACCGAUACUGACGCUGAGACGCGAAAGCGUGGGGAGCGAACAGGAUUAGAUA